CUCCUUGUCCCACUGUAUGAGAAACCUCAUCCCUGCUCCUGAUCCAGGACUGGUUUCAAGUCUGCUGAUAAUGGAAAUGUGAAUUGUUCUGAAUUUUGUGUUGCUUGGGACCAGUGUUUGUGUGACAAUGCUGUCACUACAGACCAGGAAAAACAGGCUCAGAACUCCAGUGUUUGGCUCCCACCAGAGUGAUUCUCCAGGAUGCUCAAGAUCUUCUCCUGGAAGAGCAGGAGGAUGGAGCUUACCCUGCACCUGAGACAGCAGAAUGACCUGGAAAGGGUUUGGUUUGAGAACAGGGAGUACAACUGCAUGUAACAGGAUUUCCAUGCUGUGAAGGGAGGUGGCCAUGAAAUAAGAUCAACAGCUGCUUCACUGGGAGACUGCUGGUGGCUGGAAGAGGUGCCUUGCUUGGAGGUG
rnacentral:lncRNA from 1 species